rnacentral:lncRNA from 1 species
AUUCUUCCCCUCUUCUUUCAUAUUUCUUUUAUUCUUAAAUCUCAGUUUUGCUUAUGGGAGAAGCCACAUGACCGUCUUUUUGAGGCUGGCUACCUUCACUUCACGUGAUGGUGUGUUUAGUUUUAUCCAUUUUCCUGCCAAGAACAUGAUUUCAUUCUUCGCAGCAGUAUGAAACUCCCCUGUAUUCUUGUACCAGAUUCCCUUUCUGAGUUUGGACAUUUGAGGAUAUAAUGAAUGUGUAUCAUGUUUGCUACUGUAUUAAAUAUUUAUGAUACCAAAAUUUAUUUUCAUUCCUAAAAUAUCACUUGUAUGUUUGCUUGCUUCCAAAAAAAAAAAAAAAAAAAAAACCCUCUUAGCACCUCGAGUCCUCUUCAUGGUGUCUGUUUAGUUUUUCCCUGUGUCUUUAUUCUUUUUAAUCUUGCAGCUUAUUGUUUGGUAAUUUUUGUAACUUCCAAAGGUUGCAGUUAGUUCAUUAAGUUUGAAUAUUUUUAAUAUAAAAACCCCAUCUAUCACUUGAGUCUAAGAACUAAAUUAGCUUUUGAAAGUUUUAAUAAGUUUACCUCUAAAGAGGUUCUAAGUUUUUUUAUUACUUUUUUCUUCAAUAAGUUACUAAAAUAUUCUUUUUCUAAGCUUAACUGACUUUUUGAGACAGAAUCUUUUUGGUAGCCAGGAAGCUCUUGACCUGAGAGCAGCAGUCUCCCUGAGUCAGCUUCCCGCGGGCUGGGAUUACAGACAUAAGUCACUAUGACCAGGGGUUAGUGGUGUGUGUGCGUGUGCGUGUGCGUGUGCGUGUGCGUGUGCGUGUGUGUGUGUGUGUAGAUGGGGCUUGAGUCUCAAAUGCCAGGGCUUACAUGUGGAGGGCAGAGGACAACUUUCAAAAGUUGGUUCUGUGCUUCCACUGUAGGAUCUGGGGAUUGAACUCAAGUCAUCCGCUUUGAGCCACAAGUAAAUCACCCACCGGUCACCCUGCUGGCUCCUGCUAUGUAAUUUUAAGUUAUAUUUUUAAGAAAAAAAUUAUUUUUAACUCUGUGUAUAUGUGUGAAGUGUACAUGAAAGCCAGAGGCACUGAUGCCCUGAAGCUAGAGUUACACUUGGUUGUGGGACACUUGACCUGGGUACUGGGAACCGAACUUAGAUUCUCUGGGUGAGCAGCAAGUGUUUUGAAUUGAUGAGCCAUCCCUCUGGCCCGUUGUAUUUCUUUUUUUUUUUGUUAUUGAUUUUAACAACUGGAUUUCGGGUGAAAAUGUUGUGUCCUGUUAUGUUCUGGCAUCUGCUGCGGCUGAGCAAUCAUUGAAGUCUAACUAAUUUCCAUUUGUGUUGGACACGCUUCAAGAGUGCUUUCCUAAUUUUAAAUACAUUCUCUUCAUCUGAGGCUGUGCAGUUUUAUUAUAAAGAACAUUGGUGUGAAGGUUUUAUUGUUUUUAUUUUAUUUUUAUUUAAGACAGGCUCUCACAUAGCCCAGAUUAGUCUUGAGCUUGCUAUACAGCAAAGGCUGGUCUUGAACUCCUGAUCCUCCUAACAUUUGCCAGCACUGGGAUCAUAGGCACACACCUCCGUGGCCAGCUGAGAAUUUCUUUUAACAUAUUUUUACUUGGGAUGACCAGAAUUGUGAAUUGAUCCCCCCCUCCCCCUGCCCCCGUUGGUUCUGGAUGAUUCUCAGAAUAUUGUCCUUAUGUGGUAUUCUUUCUAAGUUGACCACUCCUGCUCUAUGCCCAGAUGUAGACUACCUCUCGCGUUAUUUUCAUCCUCUUUAAUCCUGGUGUUUAUUUUUUGCUUUUUUUUUUCUAACUUACUAAGCUUUCAGUUUAAUUCAUUUAUUUUGAAGGUGUUUUUUUUUAUUCUGAUAUGAAAGUGUAAUCCAUCAAUUAGACUCUAAGUACAAUCUAUAUUGUGUUCUGUGUCUUAUCUAAUCUUGCCUACAGAUAUUGAGCAUUAUUUAAUUGAACACUUAUUUUCUGUCUUUGUGUCUGAUCAUUUUAAAGGGUGAAGCCUGUGGGUCCGGCCCUGCCCUGCAUCACUUGUGCUGAUUGUUUCGGUUCUCUGUGUCCUCUGGCAUGUUGUAUUGUCUAUUGUUUCACUUUAAUAUACUUUCCUGUUGCUUUGCUUUGGAGACUAUCCACCGGAAUUCUUUGAGUUAGAGAUGAAUGUGAAUCUCUCUGACAAUAAUAUUUUCCUUUGCCUGUUCGCUGGGAUCAUUCUUGAUUUGUAAAAUCCGAGCCCCACCCAUUCACCCUGAGGCCUGUCCUGUGGUUACACACUUAGUACAGACCUCUCCCCUCCCACCUUGCUCUCGUGUUGGCUGUUUCCUUUAGAGCCCGCCUUAGCUCUGUGUCUCCUGUUUUACUCUGCUUUUUUGGUGAGUCCUCCAUUGGUGGAUGACCAAGUUUAUCCCCGCUAUGUUAUGAAAAUUGUUCAAAUUCUUCCUGUUUGUUAAAUGCCCUCGGGGUAAAAAAAAAUAAAGAUACAAGUGUUUUCUUCUGAGUGUGUCUUAUUUUCUUGUUGGUUCACAAAUACACUUCAAAUUACUUGUGAGAAAAUAUUCUGAGAAAUACAUUUUGGGUUAUUUUCAAUGGAGUGACUGGCCAAGUGUUCAUCCUACCAGAAAAGAAAGUCUGGUCCUCUUUUCUCUUGUGUUUCUGCUUCAGUGAUAUUAAUAUUCCUCCAGGCAGGGGAUAUCUUUGGUCUGCUAAUGACCACAUAUACAGAAGCCAAAAAGAAAAAAAAAUGC